AGGUACUGCAGGGGUAGGGGUGAAAUCCUAUAAUCCUUGCAGGACCACCGGUGGCGAAAGCGUCAGACUGGAACGCGCCUGACGGUGAGGGACGAAAGCCAGGGGAGCGAACCGGAUUAGAUACCCGGGUAGUCCUGGCCGUAAACGAUGCAUACUAGGUGACGGCACGGCCAUGAGCCGUGUCGGUGCCGUAGGGAAACCGUUAAGUGUGCCGCCUGGGAAGUACGGUCGCAAGGCUCUAAACUUAAAGGAAUUGGCGGGGGAGCACCACAAGGGGUGAAGCCUGCGGUUCAAUUGGACUCAACGCCGGGAAACUUACCGGGGGAGACAGCAGAAUGAAGGUCAGGUUGACGACCUUACCUAACAAGCUGAGAGGAGGUGCAUGGCCGUCGCCAGUUCGUGCUGUGAGGUAUCCUGUUAAGUCAGGCAACGAGCGAGACCCGCACCUUUAGUUGCCAGCAAGAAGUUACGACUUCGUUGGGCACACUAAAGGGACUGCCGAUCGAUAAGAUGGAGGAAGGAGCGGGCAAAGGCAGGUCAGUAUGCCCCGAAACCCCCGGGCUACACGCGGGCUGCAAUGGUAUGAACAAUGGGCUGUGACUCCGAGAGGAGAAACCAAUCCCUAAAUCAUAUCUCAGUUGGGAUUGUCGACUGUAACUCGUCGACAUGAACGUGGAAUCCCUAGUAAUCGUGUGUCAUCAUCGCACG
rnacentral:rRNA from 1 species